rnacentral:rRNA from 1 species
UACAUAGGGUGCGAGCGUUAAUCGGAAUUACUGGGCGUAAAGGGCGCGUAGGCGGAUGGCACAGUCAGAUGUGAAAUUCCCGGGCUUAACCUGGGGGCUGCAUUUGAUACGUGUGAUCUAGAGUGAAGAAGAGGGUCGUGGAAUUCCCAGUGUAGAGGUGAAAUUCGUAGAUAUUGGGAAGAACACCGGUGGCGAAGGCGGCGACCUGGUCCUUGACUGACGCUGAGGCGCGAAAGCGUGGGGAGCAAACAGG